ACUUUACGGGAUGAACAGAAAAAUAUAUAUGACGUUGCAAGCCACUAUUUUUAAUGUUCAAAAUAAAAAAAUUAGAUUGUGUUUUUUGAGUAAAUAAUAAUAAUUAAUAGCCCGCGGGAAUAAAUUCCUGGCUUUGUUUUUACGAAAUACCAGUAUAUAUAUGACGAUCCCAUUAACUCAUCAGCCAGUUGUCAUAUUAAUUGACUUUAAAUAAAUUUAAAAAAUGUUCAAAAUUACAAUUAUUUUGGCAAUUGUUAUAAUUGCGAUGAUAAAUAUUUUACAAGCUAAAUUGUGUAAUGAAAAAAAUGAAGGAUGUAAUGUUACGUAUUCAAAGUGCUGUCCUCCAUAUAUAUGCGACUUAGACUCUGGACUUUCAUUUAAAUGUAAAUAAUUAAUUUUAUAAAUAAUAGUAAUAAUGAAAAAUUAAAAUAACUAAGCCUGUAAAAAAUAAACAAUAAUAAAUGUAAAUAAAUAUUUUAUUCAAUA